rnacentral:lncRNA from 1 species
UUGGAUGUAUGACGUAUGUCUUGUUUAAAUUUCAAUGGACCAGUUUUGUUUAGCUAAACAACUACUCCGACCAUAGUUGAGAAGGUAGAUCUUACCAUCAUUCUAGGAGGACAAAAAUUCGCAAACAUUGGUAGAAAUCCUCAUUUUCCAAAAUUUUGGAUCAUUUUGUGUUUGAACAAAGACAUAUUUGGAAUCCUUAUACUCAUAUUUUGUGGAUGAAUUGCAGGUUGCUGUGCUGAAUCAUGCAUGUGUACAGGGAAGCAAACUAACUGAUCGUUUGGCAAACAAAUCUACUACUACUAUUACCACUAACUGUUUGUAUAAGAUGCAGUUUAUCUACUACUAUCAUUGUUAUGAACAAAUGUUUGUACUUGCUGUAAUAGUAUCUUGCUUUUGAUUCCACCAUCACUUGUUGUUUAUUGUGAUUAGGUUAUCACAUUAUUCUUUGGUUGUUAUUGUUUCCUUA